CAAAAAGUAGUUUAUAUAAGAAUUCAAGCUUUGGGAGCUUGAGGUGUGAGUUUCAUCUUUUUGA
rnacentral:tRNA from 1 species